AGUGAACGCUGGCGGUAGGCCUAACACAUGCAAGUCGAACGGCAGCACAGUAAGAGCUUGCUCUUACGGGUGGCGAGUGGCGGACGGGUGAGGAAUACAUCGGAAUCUACUUUUUCGUGGGGGAUAACGUAGGGAAACUUACGCUAAUACCGCAUACGACCUACGGGUGAAAGCAGGGGAUCUUCGGACCUUGCGCGAUUGAAUGAGCCGAUGUCGGAUUAGCUGGUUGGCGGGGUAAAGGCCCACCAAGGCGACGAUCCGUAGCUGGUCUGAGAGGAUGAUCAGCCACACUGGAACUGAGACACGGUCCAGACUCCUACGGGAGGCAGCAGUGGGGAAUAUUGGACAAUGGGCGGAAGCCUGAUCCAGCCAUACCGCGUGGGUGAAGCAGGCCUUCGGGUUGUAAAGCCCUUUUGUUGGGAAAGAAAAGCAGCAGGUUAAUACCCCGCUGUUCUGACGGUACCCAAAGAAUAAGCACCGGCUAACUUCGUG
rnacentral:rRNA from 1 species